GAUCCUUGGCGUUCACUGCCUCUCUGGGCCUGUGUCUUAGGCUCUUCAAAGAUCAACCGAGCAAAAGCACACGGCCUGCAGAGAGGCAGCGCUGCGCUC
rnacentral:pre_miRNA from 9 species